AUACGGAGGGUGCGAGCGUUAAUCGGAUUUACUGGGCGUAAAGCGCGCGUAGGCGGCUAAUUAAGUCAAAUGUGAAAUCCCCGAGCUUAACUUGGGAAUUGCAUUCGAUACUGGUUAGCUAGAGUGUGGGAGAGGAUGGUAGAAUUCCAGGUGUAGCGGUGAAAUGCGUAGAGAUCUGGAGGAAUACCGAUGGCGAAGGCAGCCAUCUGGCCUAACACUGACGCUGAGGUGCGAAAGCAUGGGGAGCAAACAGGAUUAGAUACCCGCGUAGUCC
rnacentral:rRNA from 1 species